ACCUGAGAACAGACUGAGUCAGGGAAGUGCCCGAACCAAGCGCAUGAGAUUGUGACUCCGUCUCCUUUAGAGAAAUCUUAGCAUCGAAGUCAAUGUGCAGUUCACCUUAUAAUUUUCAACCAACUCCAUGAUAUAAUCGGAACCGUCCAUCAAUUUUUGGUCAUCUCUUUUGGAGCAUGUCAAAGAGAGAAAACCCAACUUUUUCUUUAAUGCAAAGCCCUAGAUUUGGUGUUUUUUCUCGUGAAAACAGUGUGUUCUUU
rnacentral:lncRNA from 1 species